CCCGACUGCUAUUUGGGUGAGAAUAAGCCAUGCGAGUUGAAUGGGAUACCUAAAGUUCCCAUAGCAAACUGCUCAGUAACACAUGAUCAACUUACCCUAUAGAGAAAAAUAACCUCGGGAAACUGAGGAUAAUGUUUCAUAAUUGAAUUGGCUUGGAAAAGUUUUUCAAUGAAAAGGAUAAAAAAAAUGGUUUUUAUCUGCUAUAGGAUAGGAUCGUGUUCGAUUAUGGUAGUUGGUGAGAUAAUGGCUCACCAAGCCCGAUAAUCGAUAGGGGCCGUGAGAGCGGGAGCCCCGAGAUGGGUACUGAGACAACGACCCAGGCCUUACGAGGCGCAGCAGGCGCGGAACCUCCGCAAUACACGAAAGUGUGACGGGGUUACCCAAAGUGUUCAAUAGAACUGUGGUAGGUGAGUAAUGUCCCCUACUAGAAAGGAGAGGGCAAGGCUGGUGCCAGCCGCCGCGGUAAAACCAGCUCUUCAAGUGGUCGGGAUAAUUAUUGGGCUUAUAGUGUCCGUAGCCGGUUUAGUAAGUUCCUGGUAAAAUCGGGUAGCUUAACUAUCUGCAUGCUAGGAAUACUGCUAUACUARAGGGCGGGAGAGGUCUGAGGUACUACAGGGGUAGGGGUAAAAUCUUAUAAUCCUUGUAGGACCACCAGUGGCGAAGGCGUCAGACUGGAACGCGCCUGACGGUGAGGGACGAAAGCCAGGGGAGCGAACCGGAUUAGAUACCCGGGUAGUCCUGGCCGUAAACGAUGCAUACUAGGUGAUGGUACGGCCAUGAGCCGUAUCAGUGCCGUAGGGAAACCGUUAAGUGUGCCGCCUGGGAAGUACGGUCGCAAGGCUAAAACUUAAAGGAAUUGGCGGGGGAGCACCACAAGGGGUGAAGCCUGCGGUUC
rnacentral:rRNA from 1 species